rnacentral:rRNA from 1 species
AUUGAACGCUGGCGGCAGGCCUAACACAUGCAAGUCGAGCGGAUGAAGGGAGCUUGCUCCUGGAUUCAGCGGCGGACGGGUGAGUAAUGCCUAGGAAUCUGCCUGGUAGUGGGGGAUAACGUCCGGAAACGGGCGCUAAUACCGCAUACGUCCUGAGGGAGAAAGUGGGGGAUCUUCGGACCUCACGCUAUCAGAUGAGCCUAGGUCGGAUUAGCUAGUUGGUGGGGUAAAGGCCUACCAAGGCGACGAUCCGUAACUGGUCUGAGAGGAUGAUCAGUCACACUGGAACUGAGACACGGUCCAGACUCCUACGGGAGGCAGUAGUGGGGAAUAUUGGACAAUGGGCGAAGGCCUGAUCCAGCCAUGCCGCGUGUGUGAAGAAGGUCUUCGGAUUGUAAAGCACUUUAAGUUGGGAGGAAGGGCAGUAAGUUAAUACCUUGCUGUUUUGACGUUACCAACAGAAUAAGCACCGGCUAACUUCGUG